UCCUUGCUAGCUCAGUUGGUAGAGCAUGAGAUUCUUAAUCUCGGGUCAUGGGUUCGAGCCCCACAUUGGGCA